GCGGAGGAAAAGAAAAUAACAAUGAUUUCCCYAGUAACGGCGAGUGAAGAGGAAAGAGCUCAAAGUUGGAACCUGUUUGGCUUAGCUAAACCGGAUUGUAAACUGUAGAAACGUUUUCCUGRCACGCCAGAUAAAUAAGUCCUUUGGAACAGGGCAUCAUAGAGGGUGAGAAUCCCGUCUUUGGUCUGAGCUGUUGUCUUUUGUGAUACGUUUUCAAAGAGUCAGGUUGUUUGGGAAUGCAGCCUAAAUUGGGUGGUAAAUCUCACCUAAAGCUAAAUAUUUGCGAGAGACCGAUAGCGAACAAGUACCGUGAGGGAAAGAUGAAAAGAACUUUGAAAAGAGAGUUAAACAGUAUGUGAAAUUGUUAAAAGGGAACCGUUUGGAGCCAGACUGGCUUGAUCGUAAUCAAUCUAGGUUUCGACCUGGAUGCACUUGCGGUCUAUGCCUGCCAACGACAGUUCUUUUUGAAGGAUAAAACUAGGAGGAAUGUGGCCCCUCGGGGUGUUAUAGCCUUCUAGAUAAUACUUUGAUUGGGACUGAGGAACGCAGUGAAUGCUUAUGGCGAAAUUGCUGAGCGCUUUUGUUGAUAGAUGUUAGAAUUUCUGCUUCGGGUGGUGCUGAUGUCUAAAGAUAAAACUCGUUUGGUUAAUUUUCUAUUCACUUAGGUUGUUGGCUUAAUGACUCUAAAUGAC
rnacentral:rRNA from 1 species